rnacentral:ncRNA from 1 species
AUGCAGGCGCCGUCUACGUUUGCGUGCCGUCUGCUGGGAAGCCGUCCGCACCGACACGGGGCGGCAGGGACGAGAGGA